rnacentral:rRNA from 1 species
CGAGUGAGUAACACGUAUCCAACCUGCCGUCUACUCUUGGACAGCCUUCUGAAAGGAAGAUUAAUACAAGAUGGCAUCAUGAGUCCGCAUGUUCACAUGAUUAAAGGUAUUCCGGUAGACGAUGGGGAUGCGUUCCAUUAGAUAGUAGGCGGGGUAACGGCCCACCUAGUCUUCGAUGGAUAGGGGUUCUGAGAGGAAGGUCCCCCACAUUGGAACUGAGACACGGUCCAA